ensembl:snRNA U6 U6 spliceosomal RNA
CUCGCUACGGUGGAACAUACUAAAAUUUGAUCGAUACAGAGAAGAUUAGCAUGGCCUCUUCAAAAGGAUUACAUGCAAAUCCGUGAAGCGCUCCGUAUUUUU